GACGAACGCUGGCGGCGUGCUUAACACAUGCAAGUCGAACGGUAACGCGGGGCAACCUGGCGACGAGUGGCGAACGGGUGAGUAACGCAUCGGAACGUGCCCAGUAGUGGGGGAUAGCCCGGCGAAAGCCGGAUUAAUACCGCAUACGACCUACGGGUGAAAGGGGGGGAUCGCAAGACCUCUCGCUAUUGGAGCGGCCGAUGUCAGAUUAGGUAGUUGGUGGGGUAAAGGCCUACCAAGCCUGCGAUCUGUAGCUGGUCUGAGAGGACGACCAGCCACACUGGGACUGAGACACGGCCCAGACUCCUACGGGAGGCAGCAGUGGGGAAUUUUGGACAAUGGGCGCAAGCCUGAUCCAGCCAUGCCGCGUGCGGGAAGAAGGCCUUCGGGUUGUAAACCGCUUUUGUCAGGGAAGAAAAGCCUUGGGUUAAUACCCUGGGGUGAUGACGGUACCUGAAGAAUAAGCACCGGCUAACUACGUGCCAGCCGCCGCAGUAA
rnacentral:rRNA from 1 species